rnacentral:rRNA from 1 species
GAUGAACGCUGGCGGCGUGCCUAAUACAUGCAAGUCGAGCGAACAGACGAGGAGCUUGCUCCUCUGACGUUAGCGGCGGACGGGUGAGUAACACGUGGAUAACCUACCUAUAAGACUGGGAUAACUUCGGGAAACCGGAGCUAAUACCGGAUAAUAUAUUGAACCGCAUGGUUCAAUAGUGAAAGACGGUUUUGCUGUCACUUAUAGAUGGAUCCGCGCCGCAUUAGCUAGUUGGUAAGGUAACGGCUUACCAAGGCAACGAUGCGUAGCCGACCUGAGAGGGUGAUCGGCCACACUGGAACUCAGACACGGUCCAGACUCCUACGGGAGGCAGCAGUAGGGAAUCUUCCGCAAUGGGCGAAAGCCUGACGGAGCAACGCCGCGUGAGUGAUGAAGGUCUUCGGAUCGUAAAACUCUGUUAUUAGGGAAGAACAAAUGUGUAAGUAACUAUGCACAUCUUGACGGUACCUAAUCAGAAAGCCACGGCUAACUACGUG